GAUGAACGCUGGCGGCGUGCCUAAUACAUGCAAGUCGAGCGAACGGACGAGAAGCUUGCUUCUCUGAUGUUAGCGGCGGACGGGUGAGUAACACGUGGAUAACCUACCUAUAAGACUGGGAUAACUUCGGGAAACCGGAGCUAAUACCGGAUAAUAUUUUGAACCGCAUGGUUCAAAAGUGAAAGACGGUCUUGCUGUCACGUAUAGCAGGAUCCGCGCUGCAUUAGCUAGUUGGUAAGGUAACGGCUUACCAAGGCAACGAUGCAUAGCCGACCUGAGAGGGUGAGCGGCCACACUGGAACUGAGACACGGGCCAGACUCCUACGGGAGGCAGCAGUAGGGAGUCUUCCGCAAUGGGCGAAAGCCUGACGCAGCAACGCCGCGUGAGUGAUGAAGGUCUGCGGAUCGUAAAACUCUGUUAUUAGCGAAGAACAUAUGUGUAAGUAACUGUGCACAUCUUGACGGUACCUAAUCAGAAAGCCACGGCUAACUACGUG
rnacentral:rRNA from 1 species